rnacentral:rRNA from 1 species
UACAGAGGGGGCAAGCGUUGUUCGGAAUUACUGGGCGUAAAGGGCGCGUAGGCGGCCUGUUAAGUCGAACGUGAAAUCCCCGGGCUCAACCCGGGAACUGCGUCCGAUACUGGCAGGCUUGAAUCCGGGAGAGGGAUGCGGAAUUCCCGGUGUAGAGGUGAAAUUCGUAGAUAUCGGGAGGAACACCAGUGGCGAAGGCGGCGAUCUGGGAAGAUACUGACGCUGAGGUGCGAAAGCGUGGGGAGCAAACAGG